AAAUAGUUUAUACUCUAACCUGAUAAUCAAAUACAUUAUUUUCAUUCAAUUCCUUCCUCCAUUCCAUUCCUACAAUUCGUACGUAACUAUGGUUCCUAUUCCUUGGCAUGUAUCAUGUAUAAUAGAAUGGAUUGACUUAAGAAAUGAAAUGGAAUUGUCAAUGUCAUUUUUAUGUUUGAUUUGUUCAUUCAUUCUGUCAAAG
rnacentral:lncRNA from 1 species